AGAUUUCUGAGAUGUUCGUCAUGUCCAACAUGUGUUGACCGAACAAUUAAUAUUACCUUGGGAUCCAAACUGAUUCAAACUGAUAGCAUGCCUUUUCACUUGGUAGCUAGACGUUUGACAGCGGAGCCCACCUGCUAACUGCGGGUUCAAUACAACCUGGACGUACCAACGGCAUCACCGGAUUUCUU
rnacentral:other from 2 species